AACUUUCAACAACGGAUCUCUUGGCUCUCGCAUCGAUGAAGAACGCAGCGAAAUGCGAUAAGUAAUGUGAAUUGCAGAAUUCAGUGAAUCAUCGAAUCUUUGAACGCACCUUGCGCCCUUUGGCAUUCCGAAGGGCACGCCUGUUUGAGUGUCGUG
rnacentral:rRNA from 3 species